AUUGAACGCUGGCGGCAGGCCUAACACAUGCAAGUCGAACGGCAGCACAGAAGAGCUUGCUCUUUGGGUGGCGAGUGGCGGACGGGUGAGUAAUGUCUGGGAAACUGCCCGAUGGAGGGGGAUAACUACUGGAAACGGUAGCUAAUACCGCAUAACGUCGCGAGACCAAAGUGGGGGACCUUCGGGCCUCACACCAUCGGAUGUGCCCAGAUGGGAUUAGCUAGUAGGUGGGGUAAUGGCUCACCUAGGCGACGAUCCCUAGCUGGUCUGAGAGGAUGACCAGCCACAAUGGAACUGAGACACGGUCCAGACUCCUACGGGAGGCAGCAGUGGGGAAUAUUGCACAAUGGGCGCAAGCCUGAUGCAGCCAUGCCGCGUGUAUGAAGAAGGCCUUCGGGUUGUAAAGUACUUUCAGCGGGGAGGAGGGCGGUGAGGUUAAUAACCUCGCCGAUUGACGUUACCCGCAGAAGAAGCACCGGCUAACUCCGUGCCAGCCGCCGCAGUAA
rnacentral:rRNA from 1 species